AUCAGAGCAUGGCCUCAAAAUACAGGCUGGCAGGGACUGCAACGCCAGUGAUCGCAAUGUCAGGAGGAAAGUGUCUUUGUUGUUGUUGUGGAAAGAGGUCAACAUUAGACACCAGUGGGUAUAAUUCGUAUUUUUGGAACGCAUACAGCAGUAAAACCUCUGCAUGUUUGUCUGGACUUUGCAUUUCACGUCCAGGUUCAACAACCACGGCCCGCCAGCUGGCUGGCCAGGACUGUCAGUUAUGCUGCUAGUGAAGGACAGGCAGUUCCAACUUUAUUGGAUUAUCUGAGUGACCUGAUGAAGCUCGUUUGAUGAGGUGUUCCUGGACCCACCAGACUCUCCUCACAGUGUGAGAUACCGUCAGAAAAAGAAGUUAUCAUUGGGCAGAUGUUGUGCUUCAGUAUAGUGAUGCCCUGAAGACAACAGCAGCCAGCAACAUCAGCAAGGUCUUGGGGUAUCCACAGGAACAGCUAUAAAAGGAGAACCAGGGACUUACACCUGGUCUUAAGCUAAGUCAGUUGUAACUUGGCAUUCUAAAUCCGACCUAAGUGCUACACCAAUUGCACCAUCUAGGCUUAAGCCUUCUUCUCACUAAGACCGGGCAUAAAUCUUACGCCUAGUCAGGAGCAGGCGCAAAGUCAAAAUAAAGCUUGUAACAGUAAAUGCAGUGGCAUACCUCAUAUAUUGACUUUACAACGAGCGGGCUUUUAGACCAAAGAGCGGGAUAGAAGCAAUCCACUGAACGGAUCAAACAAUGACGACCUGAUUUAGAGGUUUCGAUUCUAUGGGGGAGAUCUAUUUGAACUUAAUGAAGAGCUGUCACAAGACUUGCAGUUUGUAUCGCAGCAUUGUCAUCCAAAUUGCACGUUGCUCCUUAUAGCACUUUGUUUUCACGCAAACUUUGCGUUUCAAAAUACUGUUGGAGACAUGACCAGCAUCCGUAAGUCCACCACAUAUCGGGCCAUUUGCAAGGUGUCACUGGCACUGAGCCAUUGCCCUCCAUGGUAUUCUAACUUCCCCGCUGAAGCGGAGUAAGCUGCGAUGAAACAACAAUUCUGCCGGGACUCCAGCAUUCCUGGCAUCGUGGGCUGCAUUGAUGGGACUCAUGUCCAGAUCCGGGCGCUAUCUGAGCAUGAGUAUCUUUAUGUCAACAGCAAGACAUACCGAAAAAAUAAAUGGUCAGAUUGCUUGCAACACCAAUUAUAAUAUCUUUACUUUGGAGGCAAGAUAGCCUGGAUCUACCUAUGAUGCAUGCAUCCUCCAGGAGAAUGUGUUAUGCAGGACCUCAAGGCUGGAUGCAUAAACAGACUGCUUUGUGGCGUCAGUGGCUACCCACUGAAACGCUGGCUGAUGACAAAAUAAUGGCUCAGAGGACUGAGCAAGAACAUUGAUUUAACACCACCCACCACUAGGUCAUGUGUUGAGCGAUGCAUCAGAGUGCUCAAGUGCAGGUUUCAAUGUCUCCACAGGGAGAUGCGGAUAUACUCUGAGAGAGUCUGCACCAUAAUAACAGCAUGAGCUGUCCUCUACAACAUCUGUGUCACCAAGAGGAUCCCUGUCCCCAGGUAACACCAUCAGCCGGUGUAAGGAGGAAGAUGUGCACCCUGUGGUCCCUGCAAAGCAUGAGGAUGUUGGUGGAUGACUAGUGCAUACACACAUUGUUAAUGCCUUAUAAAUUCAGACAGAUAUCACUAAUGUUUCAAAACAUCUUGAUCAGCUCCUUCUUGUUCAACUAUUUUCAAUGUAUUGCUUCAGUUCAUAAUCAUUUCCGGCUAAAUGUCUGCUCGUUCUAAAGAAAGAUAAAGGAUUUACAAAACGUAUAUAAAGAAAGGACAGUGAUGCUUAUAAAUAAAUAUUUUAUUGUUUACAUUAGAUUGUGGUUGAUUAUUAUUGUUAUCAUUAUUCAGUUCAAAAAUAACUCUCGGCUAAAUACCAGCUUGUGGUAAAAAAAAUUAUAAAGCUCAUACAAAGAAAACCUAUAUAGAAUGAAAAGCAAUGUAUGUUAAAUAAAUAUAUUAGACCUAUGGUUUACAUAGAUUGUGGUUGAUUAUUAUUAAUAUCAAUUAAAUUUAAUUCAAAACAACAUAGGACUGCUCCUCCUCUUCAAAAAUACAAGAGGAAGGCCUGUUUAGUUGUUGUUGGAGCAACUGUCUUUCUAAUGCUAUUUUCUGUUUUUCCCGCUCCAGCUUUUCCUGCUCCAUCUCUAAUUUUUUGGUUUCAGCCUCCACACAUUUCCUUUUCAAGCAGUAUCUGCUGAAGAUCAUCCUGUCUCCACCGUUUCAUUGGUGGCACUCUGCUGCUGCCAUAAGAAAUUUGUGGAGGAAUGGCAUCUGUCGAGCCUGAAAUCAAAUAGCAAAUUCAUUAAAUCUGGCCUAUACAGUUAUGAUGACAAUGACAAUUUCUAAGACUUAGCCUAGCUAGAAGCACAGUUUAUUAACAGAUUUUAUUUUUAGUUUAUUUAGCUAUUAUUAAACCAACUAAAUAAAUAAAUGGGUAGUUUAUGUGAAAUACACACCUUCACAAUUCACAGUAACAGUACUGCUCUUGUUGCUCGUUAGAACGACACCAAUCUCUGGAGAGACAUCACUCUUUUCCAGCAGUUGAUCAGUACUGCCACUUUCCACGGCGACCAAACCAGUAAAAGCAGGUGAAUCCUCUCCAAAACUAUCAAAAACUAUGCUGCUAUAUAGUGAUUUUUCCGUAAGAGGAUACCCAAUGGUUUGAUGGAUUUUUUUCAAAGUAGCGUCUUUAUUUGCCUUGCUCAGGAGGUCUUCGUUUUCUGAACGAAAGUUGCCCAAGUAAGAACAACCCUUAUGGCUUUAUGAUGCACACUGCUAGGCAAAAGCCAUAGUCUCGUGGGCACUCACAUGAACACACAUUGCUAAGACCAGGCAUAGGUAAGACUAGGCUGCUUUUUUUUUUUUAAAUAGCAGAGUGCAACUGCUGCUCUCACUGUCAAAAUUUUUCUCAUUCUCCGAUAGCCAUCUAACAAUGUAACAGCGUUUGACUGCUCACCAAAAUUUUUGUUCAGUUGGACAUCUGUAGACAGCUCACUCCUCACUCUCAUUCCAAUCACACAAUUAUUUUCUCUGGCAGUUAACAUUUUUCAGACUCCAGUCUUUUUGAGCUCGUUAUCUGUGACAGAUGUAUUGUAUUUCUGCAGUAGAGAUGUCAGGAGAUGCUAAGAACUCAUUUUUACUCAUCAUGAAUUUACUUCCUCUGUGGCAGCAGAACAUGUUACACCACCAGCCUUCAGAAACUCCUGCAGGUUAAACUGAACUAACAAAACACUUUUAAGACUGAUUAACUCUGAAAGACUACCUAUAGUCGGACUCAAAAUCACUCACUAGCCUAGCAAAAUAUUAAGGCUACAAAUAACCCAUAAUGCAACACUCUUUGAAAGGCCAGAGUUACACGGAACAUGUGACUGUCUAGUCCUGGAAUAUAGGACAACCCCCACAUUUUUAAACCUAAGUUUCAGAAAGAAAAUACUGUCUUAUAUUAAGGCCAAUACGUUAUACUUUCUCUCCAGAGUGGAAAAGAAUUCUCAGCAUAGUUUUUGCCAUUCAUUUGGUUAAGGCACUACACAAAAAUGCUUAGGCACUGUGCCUGAGUCAAAUGAUAGCAGGGAAAACCCUGGUCUAUUUAUUGUGUUGCAGAGAUAUCUACUGUGUUUAGCAUGAUGACCGGCUAGCCUCGGCCCCUCUCACCUCAUAACAACACUGUAUACCUCAACAUCAUAUAAAUUAUUAGAAAAUUACAUCAGAGAGGGAGAACUGUGUGAAGGAAAAAUGGUAGGAAGAACUUAAUACACACAUUUCAGAUGAAGAGUGGAUAGAAAUUUUCAUAGAAAUGAAAAUCUCAUUUUUGGAAAGAAUACACAUGGAAAAUGGUGGACAAAAGCCGAGUAUCUACUGUAUUAAGAAUAUUAAAAUAAUGACCGCUUUGAAAUUAAUUACAAAGAGAUAGCCACCAAAAAAACACUCCCACACCUAUCAAAUUGGAUAGAAAUGGUGGAGUAAAUUCAACAUAUGAAAAAAUAACAUAAAAUAAGAGGUAAUAUUUUAUUGUAUGAAUAAAGACUGAUAAGGUAGCUAAAUUAUGUUUCAACCUGCAGUGAACUGUCUCCAACUACCUGAGGUAAACUAAGCUUGGUUUGUUCAUUUUUAUUUUAUUUUUGUUUAUUAAUUAUUAAUAUUAAUUAAGGGGUGCACCUUACACUAAUUGGAUAUAUAUGUAUAUAAGUUUACAAGUAUGUAAAUUUCACCCUCUCCUCCCUCUGUCAAUCUUCACUACCUUGCUGGCUAACAGUCAGUCAUUUAGAAAUAGCUUAACUGACCAUUUAAAUCACAACUAAAAUGGACACUGAAUAUUUUUAUACAUCUAUCUUAAUUGUCAGGAUUGCAAACCUCCAGCAGUUCCUGAAGUUUCUCAUCAUUGAUUAAACCUACUCGACCAACAUUUCACUCACAUUUCACCUUAUUAUUUCUGCUCUCACCUGAGGUUGCACUGACCUGUUAAACAAUUAACAGUGAACUAUAGAGUUUAGAAGUUCCAUCAACUUACCAAAAACCUUGAAUCUUCACUUAGUCUGCAUUGUUUGUUUCUACCAUCUUUCUAGACCUUUCACCAACAGUGUUAUAGCUGCUUCAUCAAACCACAAUCUUUCUGCUAACAGAAGUCCGUCCGACCAGUUGUCAUAUCCUUAUCCAUUGAAGUCCUUAUUUGUUAUGUCGGUGCUGCAUCUGUCCAUGUAAAGCCAACUGUUAUACCCUGAUGUUUAUCUCCAACCCAGUAUAAGUGUAGUAGUCUUGUUCCAUUGUAGUAGUCUGAUCUCACAAUUUAAAGACGUCUGCUGUUGUGCUCAUUGAAGGCUGUUUUCCCCCGGCUUAAGAAGGAAUCUAGCAAUCUUUGUGGGCAGGAUUAAGAAUGGGGACGUUAUCUUCAAACACAGCUAGCUAUACCUAGCUACAGCCAUAAAAAAAGUGAUAGAAAAAUGGCCACAACAAUGGCAUUUAGUGUGAAUUUUUUUUCUGCAUUGCCGCAACUAUCCUGCGUCCUGCGUUAUUGAGCUCCCUGUGUUGAGCAAAU